AUGUCAGUGGUGGACUCCUGGCAGUUCUGUGCCAAGCUCGGCCGCCAAUUCAUGAAAGGGUGGGGAGCUAACCUUGGUAGGGACCUCCGCGAACGGAAAAAAGUCCUCCUUUCAGCCAUCCAGGCCUUGGAUUACCGCGCGGACACCUCCGGGAUCUCCCCGGAUGAGUGGAUGGUGCGAUAUGAUCUCGAGGAUCAGCUCGCUACCAUCUACACGGAUGAAGAAGCUUACUGGAGGCUCCGCGGUACCCAGCGUUGGGUGCUGCGGGGCGACGCUAAUACGGCA
rnacentral:rRNA from 1 species